CUGGACGCCUGCAUCCGGGCCCAGGAUCCUCCUUUCUGUAAAGGCGGCAACAUCAGAGUCCCCCGUCAAUCUCCCACCCUUUGCAUGCAGCCAAGCUUGCUGCUCCGACAGUCCUCCAGGGGACAUGGGACAGGAGGCCACACCCAGCCCCUGGCACCAGCAACAAGGAGCUCUUCGAGCAAAGCAGGCCCUGCCUCUGCUCCAGCCACACAGCUCUGCCCUCAGCCUAGCCCAGCUCAGCAGGGUCCUGGCUAUUCAUCUGGCCCCUCUCCCCACCCUCAGCCACAGAGCCAGGCCCCCAACCCACUUUCCCAGCCAGCCAGCCACUUUCUCUCCAAGCCUUUGCCCUAGGAAGCACCUUUCCCUGGCGUGCUGCAAACCCGUGUCUCCGUGUGGGAAUUCUGCCCCGCAGUGUGUUUUCCUUGCAUGUGGCUCGGCCCUGUGUAUUGUCUCCCCUCCCACUGCCCUGCUUCUGUGCUGUCUGCCCUCAGAG
rnacentral:lncRNA from 1 species